rnacentral:rRNA from 1 species
UACGUAGGGUGCGAGCGUUAAUCGGAAUUACUGGGCGUAAAGCGUGCGCAGGCGGUUGUGCAAGACAGAUGUGAAAUCCCCGGGCUCAACCUGGGAAUUGCAUUUGUGACUGCACGGCUAGAGUGUGUCAGAGGGGGGUAGAAUUCCACGUGUAGCAGUGAAAUGCGUAGAGAUGUGGAGGAAUACCGAUGGCGAAGGCAGCCCCCCGGGAUAACACUGACGCUCAUGCACGAAAGCGUGGGGAGCAAACAGG